ACCUCACGGUUGGGACAUUGCAUGAGUUUCCCACUAAAUCUCUCCCACACCUCAUAUAGAGGUUCUCAAUUCAAUUAAUGAAAAUUAGUGAUUUCCUCAUAAAGGC